UUUGCACUGUCUGAUUUGAGCCAGUUCUCCUCCCCACCCCUCACAGUGGCAUUUUCAGGAUUCUACCGCUUGGUGGCUGUCCCCAGAAGACACUUCCCUGGGUCCUGGCAGUUAAGCAAGGCUUGUCGGGCUCCAGGGAAAGGGGUGCUGCUUUUGGCAUCCUCCUCAAGCCCAGGAGCUGACAGCAAAGGUCUUGUUCAUUCUGCUCUGCUGGAGUGAAGACUGUUGCCAAACCAGAGCGCUCGUUUUUAUUGUUUUUCUAGAACAACAGGACUGUUAUUACAAGUGUUCUGGAAGAGAGGACAGGGAAGCCAAAAACAGAUUCCACAGCAUCUUAAAAAUAGCCAGUAGCAUGUGAAUUGCUCGACUAGCAAGGCCAGGCUCUUGAUGGGUCUGACACAUCUGUGAACCACUGUUUGGCUACUGCCCGACCAUGUCGCAGCCUCCUCCGGAGAGAAAAGCCAGUACCCCUGGCUGCUCCCAGCACUGUCACCCCAAACUCGAAGCAGUGAGACCAGCACCCAGAAGGGGCAGACAGGGAGAAAAUCAGAGGGGGUGAUGGGAAAGGAGAGGCCGCGUGAUCCGCAGGAGACCUCGGAGGCAUUCGGAGACCCAGAGACGGCCACGUGUCCUGGUCCCUGGCUGUGCCCUCAUCACCAGCGAGCCACCCCAACCAGCAGACCAGCAGACGGUGGCACAAACGGCUUUGGUGGCAUUCACAUCGCGUGCGCCGGUCCUCUGAGGAGCCUCUCUCCCAGACUGAGGCUGUACCAGCAUCUUCCACCCCCUGGAAAGAUCCCAGUCCAUCUUGAGUUUGCAAAACCUGGCCGGAUGGCGGAGGAGAGUUACCUGAAUGCGUGCGGAGCCUACACCAUCCUGACAACAUGCAUCUCUAAGUCUCUCUCUCCUCCAGAUAAGAUGUGAGCACCAGCCGCUUGUAAAGCAAACUUUGGUUGCCAUGGUAACUGGGCCCUCAGCCUCUUCCCGGCUUGAACAGAGCCAGCAACACCUCCCAGGUCUUAUCUCUAAAACCCAGCCCUCC
rnacentral:lncRNA from 1 species